rnacentral:rRNA from 1 species
AUUGAACGCUGGCGGCAGGCCUAACACAUGCAAGUCGAACGAGGGGCGGACGGGUGAGUAAUGUCUGGGAAACUGCCUGAUGGAGGGGGAUAACUAAUGGAACCGGUAGCUAAUACCGCAUACAAUCAGAUGUGCACACAUGGGAUGAGCUAGUAGGGGGGGUAAUGGCUCACCAAGUCGACGAUCCCUAGAUGGUCUGAGAGGAUGACCAGCAACACUGGAACUGAUACACGGUCCAGACUCCUACGGUAGGCAGCAGUGGGGAAUAUUGCACAAUGGGCGCAAGCCUGAUGCAGCCAUGCCGCGUGUAUGAAGAAGGCCUUCGGGUUGUAAAGUACUUUCAGCGAGGAGGCGUUACCCGCAGAAGAAGCACCGGCUAACUCCGUGCCAGCAGCCGCGGUAAUAC